rnacentral:rRNA from 1 species
AUUGAACGCUGGCGGCAUGCCUAACACAUGCAAGUCGAACGGCAGCACGGCAGUAGCAAUACUGUGGGUGGCGAGUGGCGGACGGGUGAGGAAUACGUCGGAAUCUGCCCAGUCGUGGGGGAUAACUAGCCGAAAGGUUAGCUAAUACCGCAUACGACCGAGAGGCGAAAGCGGGGGACCGCAAGGCCUCGCGCGAUUGGAUGAGCCGACGUCGGAUUAGCUAGUUGGAGGGGUAAAGGCCCACCAAGGCGACGAAUCCGUAGCUGGUCUGAGAGGAUGAUCAGCCACACUGGAACUGAGACACGGUCCAGACUCCUACGGGAGGCAGCAGUGGGGAAUAUUGGACAAUGGGCGCAAGCCUGAUCCAGCAAUGCCGCGUGUGUGAAGAAGGCCU